rnacentral:rRNA from 1 species
UUGGAGGGCAAGUCUGGUGCCAGCAGCCGCGGUAAUUCCAGCUCCAAUAGCGUAUAUUAAAGUUGUUGCAGUUAAAAAGCUCGUAGUUGAAUUUCGGGGUUAGUAGGUUGGUCAUGCCACUGGUAUGUACUGGUCUCACUGAUUCCUCCUUCCUGAUGAGCCGUAAUGCCAUUAAUUUGGUGUUGCGAGGAAUCUGGGCUGUUACUUUGAAAAAAUUAGAGUGUUUAAAGCAAGCUAACGCUUGAAUACAUUAGCAUGGAAUAAUGAAAUAGGACGUUCGAUCCUAUUUUGUUGGUUUCUAGGAUUGACGUAAUGAUUAAUAGGGAUAGUUGGGGGCAUUAGUAUUCAAUUGUCAGAGGUGAAAUUCUUGGAUUUAUUGAAGACUAACUACUGCGAAAGCAUUUGCCAAGGAUGUUUUCAUUAAUCAAGAACGAAAGUUAGGGGAUCGAAGACGAUCAGAUACCGUCGUAGUCUUAACCAUAAACUAUGCCGACUAGGGAUCGGAUGAUGUUAUUUUUAAUGACUCAUUCGGCGCCUUACGGGAAACCAAAGUGUUUGGGUUC